rnacentral:rRNA from 1 species
UGAAUACGAGAUGCUACGGCGUCGAAGCAGUCUAUGUCAUACUUCCAAGAAAAGCUUGCACUGUCAUAAACAAAUAAUGCCUGUACCAUAACCGACACAGGUGGGUAGGUAGAGUAUACUAAGGGGCGCGAGAUAACUCUCUCUAAGGAACUCGGCAAAAUGACUCCGUAACUUCGGGAGAAGGAGUGCCUUAUUUAUAAGGUUGCAAUAACAAGAUCCAAGCAACUGUUUACCAAAAACACAGGUCUCCGCUAAGUCGUAAGACGAUGUAUGGGGGCUGACGCCUGCCCAGUGCCAGAAGGUUAAAGAAGUUGGUUAGCAUCCGCGAAGCUGAUAACUGAAGCCCUGGUGAACGGCGGCCGUAACAAUAACGGUCCUAAGGUAGCGAAAUUCCUUGUCGGGUAGUUCCGACCCGCACGAAAGGCGUAAUGAUUUGGAUACUGUCUCGGAGAGGGGCUCGGUGAAAUAGACUUGUCUGUGAAGAUGCGGACUACCUGCACCAGGACAGAAAGACCCUAUGAAGCUUUACUGUAACCUGAAAUUGAAAUUGGACUUUACUUGCGCAGUAUAGGUGGGAGGCGUUGAGAAUAUUCUUGCGGGAUUAUUGGAGCCAUCAGUGAGAUACCACUCUUGUAAUGUUAGAUUUCUAACUUUGUAUCAUUAUCUGGUCAAAGAACAGUUUCAGGCGGGCAGUUUGACUGGGGCGGUCGCCUCCUAAACGGUAACGGAGGGGCACAAAGGUUUCCUCUGAACGGGUAGAAAUCGUAUCUAGAGUGUAAAGGCAUAAGGAAGCUUGACUGUGAGACCUACAAGUCGAGCAGGGACGAAAGUCGGUCUUAGUGAUCUGACGGUGCUGAGUGGAAAGGCCGUCACUCAACGGAUAAAAGUUACUCUAAGGAUAACUGGCUGAUCUCCCCCAAGAGUUCACAUCGACGGGGAGGUUUGGCACCUCGAUGUCGGCUCAUCGCAUCCUGGGGCGGUAGUACGUCCCAAGGGUUGGGCUGUUCGCCCAUGAAAGCGGUACGCGAGCUGGGUUCAGAACGUCGUGAGACAGUUCGGUCCAUAUCCGGUGUAGGCGUUAGAAUAUUGAGAGGAGCCUUCUUUAGUACGAGAGGACCGAGAAGGACAUACCUCUGGUGUACCAGUUAUCGUGCCAACGGUAAACGCUGGGUAGCUAUGUGUGGAGUGGAUAACCGCUGAAAGCAUCUAAGUGGGAAGCCCACCUCAAGAUAAG